rnacentral:rRNA from 1 species
UACGGGGGGGGCAAGCGUUGUUCGGAAUUACUGGGCGUAAAGGGCUCGUAGGUGGUCAACUAAGUCGGACGUGAAAUCCCUCGGCUUAACCGGGGAACUGCGUCCGAUACUGGAUGACUUGAGUUCGGGAGAGGGAUGCGGAAUUCCAGGUGUAGCGGUGAAAUGCGUAGAUAUCAGGAAGAACACCGAUGGCGAAAGCAGCUCUCUGGGACGGUACCGACGCUGAGGCGCGAAAGCGUGGGGAGCAAACAGG